UACGAAGGGGGCUAGCGUUGCUCGGAAUCACUGGGCGUAAAGGGUGCGUAGGCGGGUCUUUAAGUCAGGGGUGAAAUCCUGGAGCUCAACUCCAGAACUGCCUUUGAUACUGAAGAUCUUGAGUUCGGGAGAGGUGAGUGGAACUGCGAGUGUAGAGGUGAAAUUCGUAGAUAUUCGCAAGAACACCAGUGGCGAAAGCGGACGACCUGGCCCGACGACUUGACG
rnacentral:rRNA from 1 species